rnacentral:rRNA from 1 species
ACGAACGCUGGCGGCGUGCUUAACACCUGCAAGUCGAACGGAAAGGCCCUGCUUGCCGGGUACUCGAGUGGCGAACGGGUGAGUAACACGUGGGUGAUCUGCCCUGCACUUCGGGAUAAGCCUGGGAAACUGGGUCUAAUACCGGAUAGGAGCCAUUUUUAGUGUGAUGGUUGGAAAGUUUUUUCGGUGUAGGAUGAGCUCGCGGCCUAUCAGCUUGUUGGUGGGGUAAUGGCCUACCAAGGCGGCGACGGGUAGCCGGCCUGAGAGGGUGGACGGCCACAUUGGGACUGAGAUACGGCCCAGACUCCUACGGGAGGCAGCAGUGGGGAAUAUUGCACAAGGGGCGCAAGCCUGAUGCAGCGACGCCGCGGGGGGGAUGACGGCCUUCGGGUUGUAAACUCCUUUCGCUAGGGACGAAGCUUUUUGUAACGGUACCUAGAUAAGAAGCACCGGCUAACUACGUG